UUUUUUUAUUAUUUUUUGAAGCGAACACACUCAGGCUCAUGCUCUCGUGUGCUCCAGGUGCCUCCUCCCAAAUAUUUCUGCAGGGACCUGAACGGCUUUGGGAGCCUGGGCCAUGUGCUACCCAGCUCUGCCUCCUCCUCGAAGCAGGAUGGGAAGUGUCAGCUGCUGGGGAUAAAAGGGAAGAAAUUCUCAGUCCCAUGGCUGAAUGCAGGUUUGCAGUGAUAACCCUACAAGCCCCUGGAGAAUCCACACCCAGCACAAGUGAGACUUCAAAAAAAUAAUAAUAAUUCGGAUCCAGCUCUGAUUUACAGCCCCCGCUUUGGGCAGUGAUGUGGGGGUGGCUUCCCAGAGAUGUCACAGGUCUGAUCUUUCUCAGAAAGGGCAGAGGUGCAGAACACACCGAGCACACUGGAUUUCAGCCAGGAAGCAGAGCAGACCCUUGCCCUUUAGCAGAAGACCAUGAACAUCCACGUUCUGGUUCAGGAUUCAUCCCAAAGUCAAUUGGUUGGACGCUGACGUUACCAAAAAUAUUUUUGCACAGGCACUGUGCAAAGUCGAUCCCGUUGCCUCAUCGUGUGCGGUGCUAUUGCCACGUGUUGACCAAAAAUGUUUUUUUUUGCAGCACCCACUGCUCUUGGAUACUGGUCCCCUGCAGGGGUCCUGGGCCCACCGAGUUCCCCAGGUGCCAAAAUGGAGCUGAAGUCUCCGGAGCUGAGGAUUGUUCCUUCAGAGGCUGCCUCCGGGUCUAAUUUCUGAAGGGCUCGCGUGCCAGCCUGCCCCUGCACCAAGGGAUUGCUCCUCCUCGUUCUCUCUGAUGCUCUCGAAAUGCUGCAGCUGUGGCUGCUGUGCCUGCACCCCGAGAAACCUGGACUCCAGAGAAGGAGGCAGGGCAGGAGGGAAGAGAAACGAGAACGCAUUUGAUUGCUGGGGAACGUGCAGCGUGGAGAAAUUACGUGAUCACAGAGAAAACCUCCAGCAGAGGCAUGGAGCUGCAGCUGGAUCCCCGUCUCUUCAUCUAAAUUUGUUCUUACAGCCAGGCCGAUUUGCUCCUCCUGGGUACAAACCCCAUGAAAAACUCCAGGUCCAUCCUGAUGGAGCGAGAUAUGGCCAGGCUUUUUGAAAUCACUUCCUCCCCUCAUCGCUUAAUUUCUCCGAGCUCCUUUCUGCCAAAGACAGCGGGAUCUCUGGCUGCUGUGUCUUGGCUGGAGGAAUUCUGAUUAAAACUAUUUUAAUAGCGUGUUAUUUUUGAAAGCCUUAUGGGCUCCGCACGCUGCAUAACAGAUCAGAGCAAGGGCAGGGCUUCCUGCAGCGAGAAAGGGGCGCGCGGAGGCUGGAGAGAGACUCUCGGUAAAUCCAGCCAGAAGUGGCGCUUCCCCUAAUGAGUCUCCCCGGGUUUUCUGGCUCUGAGAAUCCUCCAGCACUAAUGACGGAGCAAGAGACCCCGGUAGCUGUGCUUAUCUUAGCAGCAGGCACAUUGGCUCAUUGAUUUAAUGCAGCUUUGCCUCAUAGAUUCUUUAUUUGUAGCCAGGGCGGGUCAAUUUGGGGAAGCGCGAGGCAGCGAAGACGUCGUCUUUGGGAGAGGGGCCUGGGGACGGGGCCACACGUGGGGACAUGGAGUUGUGACAGAGGGGGCUGGCGAUAACCAGGAGCCGUGGGAGGAGGGCUGCUGGCACCAGCAGCCCCACGGGUGAGGGCAAAUCCCAUGUCCCUGCCCACGGGGACGGCUUCACUUCCGGGGUUUGUUCCCCACCAUUUUCAUUUCGGGGGCUCACAGGUGCCCCAACUGCAGCACUCACCCUGGAUUUGGGCUGGGCUGGGCCUGCAGAGGACACGACGCCGUGCCCAGGCUGUGGUCACCCAAGGACAGACCUGGCCUCCCCCCAGCACUGGUGUGACUGGGAGGAGCGGGCUGACUCACGGCCUGCUGCUGGGGGCGUUUGCUGGGAAGCAGCAGCUUUCUCCGCUGUGGAGAAUCCAAUUAAGCACUUAUUAAAUUCAUUUGUGUUUUUCUUCCCGUCCCUAACUCGCUUUCAGAGCCUUAGGCUGGAAUUUUCCUACAGGAGCCUCUAAUGGUGGUCGCGUCGGUCCCAGCAGGGACACAUUGGCUUUGGCAGGGACGGGCGUGCUGGGGCCUGGGCGCAGCUGUGCUGGGGCCUGGGCCACCCCGACCCCAGAGCAGACACAGGUGUUGGCCAUCCUACACCCAGGGGUGAUCCUACAAACAGGGGCAAUCCUCCACCUAGGCGUAAUCCUACAAACAGGGGUAGUCCUGCACCUAGGAGUGAUCCUAUAAACAGGGGUGAUCCUACACAUGGGUAUGAUCCUGCACAUAGGUGUGAUCCUACACCCAUGGGUGAUCCUGCACAUAGGGGCAAUCCUACACACAGGGGCAAUCCUGCACCCAGGGGCGAUCCUACACACAGAGGCAAUCCUGCACAUAGGAGUGAUCCUACAAACAAGGCGAUCCUACACACAGGGGUGAUCCUACACACAGGGGUAGCACCCACAGGGGGCAGGUGUGAAGCUGGAGAAGGCUCUGGUGUCCACCCCAAGGUGUAUAAGGGACAGAUAUUGUGACAGAAGGAUCUGAUCAGGGUUCCAAAAGCAUGAAGAUUUGCGUUUCACAAUCCAUGCAGGAAGGCUGAGUUGAUAUAUUGGUUGCAAAUGAAGAAAAGCACGUGUGGAUCUUCCUCGGACAAAAAAAAAAGAGGAAACCGGCUGAUGAAAACAGAGCCAAAACACCAGUCUUGCCAGAAACCAGGUGAAAAUGCAUAAAUAACCCAGCCUGUCUAUAGGUUUUGCCUUCUGAAACCAUGGAAAGGAGCAGGAUCCGGCCUCACUGCUCAAGGCUGAGUCCUCCUGGCGUGCUGCAGACACUGUGCUUUCAGGCUGCCUGCUCUGAAAUGGAGACGUUUUUCCUCUUUAAGAACCAAGACAUAAAAUAAAUACAACCCAAUGUCCUCUACUUUUUCACCCAAUAAGUACUGCUCCCCCCUGCCUUUAAAAGGGCUUAUUAAACAGCCUGGAGCUGGGACGGAGCGAAGAUGCUCCUCGUUCCUCGCCCGGCUGUCCUCAUGCCUCGUUGCUCGUAAUAAAUCACCAGCAGCCACAGGAAAGUGGGGGUUAACAACGCGUGACUCUGUCCUCCAUCUCCCUGUCCCAGGGCCCGAGGAGUGAGGAAUGGCCACGGUUUGGCUGGGAAAAGAAGAAAAAAGGAGGGAGGGGAAAGGGAAGCGGGCAGCUGGAGAGCAUCAGGAUCCUGAAAUGGGGCCCCUGGGGCUGCUGGGCACAGCAGCUCGUCGAUGCUCUUAGCUCUUGGUGAGGUGCAAAGCAGGGAAAAGCAGAGACUGAGCAAAUCCCCGGGUGAAGGAGCUACCUGGGAAGGAAGCUAAAACAACACGAGAUAAUUAUCGAAGGAAACAGGGACAUGGUUUUCCUAAUGUAAUUUCAGUCACUUAGAAAAGUCCUCCUGGCCCGAUAAGCGGAUCUUUUUCUUCCUUUUCAAGCUGCCUAUAGCCACAGAGAUCUGAUGUAUGUUUCUGCUGCUUUUAUUAUCAAAAGAGGCUGUAUUAGUUCAGUUUUUACUUGGAAUUCAAGAAGAAAAUGUUUCCUUCCCGACAAUUUUAUAUAUUUAUCCCUUUGGCUAAAGCCUUUGAUUCUGAAAAGUGCAAUUAGCAAGUGGCGGGUGUGCAGUUUGACUUCUAACCGGAGAAACUCCCAGUGCAAAUGAAAAGCGGUGCUUUAAUGAAACGCAACAUUUCCUUUCGCUGUCUCCCUGUAAUUUAUUCCGACCGAUAGACACCUGAGCCAGCGUGCAGGCACACACAUGCAGGAGUAUAUAAUAAUAAUAGUGUCCUUGUCAUCCAGAGCCCUCCAAGCACAAUAUAAAGCAAAAGCAAAUAGUGCAGAGCAGAGACUCAUGAAAUUGCAGCCCUGUUUAAGGAGACGUUUCUCGAGCUCCAGAGCUACAGAUGGGCAGGUUGCUACCUGCCUUCAGCCCCAGUUCUGUAUUGCUUCAUUUACCAGGGUCCUCAUCCUGCCCAACGUGCUGUGUUGCUCAUCAAUAAAGUUAAUGCACGAAGAAUACAGCUCGGAGAAAUUGUUCCUUGUCCCAGAUUUCAAUGGGCAAGCUGAGAAGCUGGGUGGCACCGGCAGCAGGACUGCAGCAGGCUGAGUGCCUCCGUGCACAUGUUGGGAAAUGCGUGUUGGGAAACACACAACAGCAUUUUGGGAGAGCAAAACCUGGGCUCAGGAUGGCAGCAGGCACCCAGGCCUGUGGCUUUGUAAGGGCUCGUUCUCGUGUUCUUCUGGCUCCCUGGUAGCCCAGCUCUGUGCUUCCACCUUCUUGCCACAGACUCAAAGCAACUCUGUUGGAUUUUGCUGAAUUUCUGAAGCCUUGACGUGGUGGAGAUGCAACCUGGAUGUGCCCAAGACUCCUGGUCAUACUGCUGGAGUCGGGAGCAUUGCUCAGUUGUCCCCUGUUCUUCACCCAAAGGCUGACUCCAUCAAUGCCCUCCAGUGAUGGUGGGGGCUGGAUUCUCCUCCUAAUCCGGCAUCGAUUGGGGUGAGCCCAUGGAGGUGGAUGGCAGAGAUCCAGGGACCAAAACCAGACCCAUGUCUGCCCCAGGGUUUGUCCCUUGCUCUGGGUUUGUGUGACAGCAAGAGGCAGCAGGGAAGAAACCCGCUGGUGUCACUCAGGUUGCUCUUCCCACCACCUCGCUCCCUAUGUGAUGCUUUGGGCAAUGUGCUCAGAACCUCACCUCCCAGCUGCUUCUUUUGGAGACCCCCCCUGUACCUCUGCAGUGCCAGGCUUGUUCCCAAAGCUGGGGCUGGCACACAGUGCGGAGGAAAGCCCUGCCAGUGAGCGAUUGAAAACGCUCCCCACUGAGCACACAACACAGCACCACCUUCGGGGAGAGCGAAGGUCCUUUGAUUUCAUGAGAGACGUGCGAGACGACGCGAGCUGGCUCAGACAGGGGACGUGAUGAUUUGGGCAGGCAGGUAGCUCAGGUACCCCAAGUGUGCCCUGGGUACGGCUCUGAAAUGGCUCUGAUCGAGCACCCAUCACUGCCAUCCCCUGUGCCAGGGGGAAACGCGACGCACAAGGUCGGCCGGGAUGAUUGAAUGCUCUCUCCUGGCCUUAAAUCCAGGAAUUUAUUGAACAGCUUCAGAGCCUCGAGCUGUGGUGGGGUCUCCCCGCAGGCAGCGUCCUCGAGUUGUUCCCUGUCAGCGCUGUCAGCUUUAUUUGUGAUGCCUACAAAUUGGCUGGGGCCGUAUCCCGGCGUCUCGUGGUGCUCGGUGACAGCUGACACCUUGUACCUGAGCGCCGUGAGCUGCGCGGGGGUUUCCUUCAGGAAUUCCUCCUGGAAAGCUCCCUUUGCCGUCAGAAAGACGUGGUGCACAAAGCCCUCUGCCCUCAGGCCCCCAGAAGAGCGAUGCAAACGUGAUUCAGCACCAGAGGAGGAAAUGCACGGAGGAGGAAAUCCACGCCUGGCUGCCAGCAGCACCUGCUGUGCCCACAGCCCUUCCUCCCUGCCGUUAACCCAGCUCUACCUUUAGCCACUGGGUUUCAGCUCUCCCCAGCUGUGUUUGCAUUAGAGCGUAGAGCAGAAGAUGCAGAGGAGCAUCCUGCAAGCAGGGUGCCUGCUGGACAAAACGUUCAUACUGUCCCUGCUACCAAAACCACUUUUUUUACCUUAAAGCAUGCCAGCAGAGGUGGCCAGCAAAGUGACUCCCCAGUACCAGUGCUGCCAUGGAGGUGGGGAUGCCAUUUAUCGCUGCAUCUUCCUUAUCCUAUCCUAUCCUUAUCUAUCCUAUCCUAUCCUUAUUUAUC